AACGCACAUUGCGCCCUUUGGUAUUCCGAAGGGCAUGCCUGUUCGAGCGUCAUUAUCACCCCUCAAGCCCUGUGCUUGGUGUUGGACGGCCGGUCGAGCGAUCGACCCCUCCUAAAGACAAUGACGGCGGCCUGUGGUUCCCCCGGUACACUGAGCUUUUCACCGAGCACGUAUCGGACAAGGGCACCCGGGACCGGUCCUCUCCUUUCACAAAAGGAAACUUUCUAUGGUUGACCUCGGAUCAGGUAGGAAUACGCGCUGAACUUAA
rnacentral:misc_RNA from 1 species